GAUGAACGCUAGCGGCAAGCCUAACACAUGCAAGUCGAACGGUAACUUUUGGUGCUUGCACCGAAAGACGAGUGGCGAACGGGUGCGUAACGCGUAUGCAAUCUGCCUUUUACUAGGGUAUAGCCCAGAGAAAUUUGGAUUAAUCCCCUAUAAUAUCAUUUAAUCGCAUGAUUUUAUGAUUAAAGCUUCGGCGGUAAAAGAUGAGCAUGCGUCCUAUUAGUUAGUAGGUGAGGUAACGGCUCACCUAGACUCCGAUAGGUAGGGGUCCUGAGAGGGAGAUCCCCCACACUGGUACUGAGACACGGACCAGACUCCUACGGGAGGCAGCAGUGAGGAAUAUUGGACAAUGGACGAAAGUCUGAUCCAGCUAUGCCGCGUGCAGGAUGACGGCCCUAUGGGUUGUAAACUGCUUUUAUACUAGGAAGAAAAACUCCGACGUGUCGGAACUUGACGGUACUGUAAGAAUAAGGAUCGGCUAACUCCGUGCCGGCG
rnacentral:rRNA from 1 species